UACGUAGGGGGCAAGCGUUGUCCGGAUUUAUUGGGCGUAAAGCGCGUGUAGGCGGCCAGAUAGGUCUGCUGUGAAACUCGAGGCUCAACCUCGAGCUGUCGGCGGAAACCAUCUGGCUAGAGUCCGGAAGAGGAGAGUGGAAUUCCUGGUGUAGCGGUGAAAUGCGCAGAUAUCAGGAAGAACACCCGUGGCUAAGGCGGCUCUCUAGUACGGUACUGACGCUGAGACGCGAAAGCGUGGGGAGCGAACAGG
rnacentral:rRNA from 1 species